GAUGAAGAACGUGGCGAAAUGCGAUAAGUAAUGUGAAUUGCAGAAUUCAGUGAAUCAUCGAAUCUUUGAACGCACAUUGCGCCCCUUGGUAUUCCGAGGGGCAUGCCUGUUCGAGCGUCAUUAUAACCCUCAAGCUCAGCUUGGUGUUGGGGCCUGCUGCAGUGGCAGCCCUUAAAAUCAGUGGCGGCGCCAUCUGGCUCUAAGCGUAGUAAUUCUUCUCGCUAUGGAGUCCUGGUGGAUGCUUGCCAUCAACCCCCAAUUUUUCUAUGGUUGACCUCGGAUCAGGUAGGGAUACCCGCUGAACUUAAGCAUAUCAAUAAGCGGAGGA
rnacentral:misc_RNA from 1 species